AACGCAGCGAAGGGCGAUACGUAAUGUGAAUUGCAGAAUUCAGUGAAUCAUCGAAUCUUUGAACGCACCUUGCGCCCCUUGGUAUUCCGAGGGGCACACCCGUUUGAGUGUCGUGAAAAUCUCAACCUCCUCGGUUUCUUCUGGACACCGAAGGAGGCUUGGACUUUGGAGGCCUUUGCUGGCGUCUCUCGCCAGCUCCUCUCAAAUGAAUUAGCGGGGUCCUCUUUGCCGAUCCUCGACGUGUGAUAAGAUGUUUCCAUGUCUUGGUUUCUGGCUCUGUUGCUUUUGGGACCCGCUUCUAACCGUCUCAACCCGAGACAAUGUUUGAGCGCGUCUCCCUUCUCGGGAAACGCCCUCAAGCCCACGAACCCUUGACCUCAAAUCGGGUGAGACUACCCGCUGAACUUAA
rnacentral:rRNA from 1 species